rnacentral:rRNA from 1 species
GACGAACGCUGGCGGCGUGCUUAACACAUGCAAGUCGAACGGAAAGGCCUCUUUCGGGGGGUACUCGCGUGGCGAACGGGUGAGUAACACGUGAGUAACCUGCCCUUGACUUUGGGAUAACUUCAGUAAACUGGGGCUAAUACCGGCUAGGAGCUCCUGCUGCAUGGUGGGGGUUGGAAAGUUUCGGCGGUUGGGGAUGGACUCGCGGCUUAUCAGCUUGUUGGUGGGGUAGUGGCUUACCAAGGCUUUGACGGGUAGCCGGCCUGAGAGGGUGACCGGCCACAUUGGGACUGAGAGACGGCCCAGACUCCUACGGGAGGCAGCAGUGGGGAAGAUUGCACAAUGGGUGGAAGCCUGAUGCAGCAACGCCGUGUGCGGGAUGACGGCCUUCGGGUUGUAAACCGCUUUCGCUCAUGACGAAGCUUUGUGUGACGGUAGUGGGUAAAGAAGCACCGGCUAACUACGUG